ACUCCUACGGGAGGCAGCAGUGGGGAAUUUUGGACAAUGGGCGCAAGCCUGAUCCAGCCAUGCCGCGUGCGGGAAGAAGGCCUUCGGGUUGUAAACCGCUUUUGUCAGGGAAGAAAUCCUUUGGGUUAAUACCUCGGAGGGAUGACGGUACCUGAAGAAUAAGCACCGGCUAACUACGUGCCAGCAGCCGCGGUAAUACGUAGGGUGCGAGCGUUAAUCGGAAUUACUGGGCGUAAAGCGUGCGCAGGCGGUCUUGCAAGACAGGUGUGAAAUCCCCGGGCUUAACCUGGGAACUGCACUUGUGACUGCAGGCUGGAGUACGGCAGAGGGGGAUGGAAUUCCGCGUGUAGCAGUGAAAUGCGUAGAUAUGCGGAGGAACACCGAUGGCGAAGGCAAUCCCCUGGGCCUGUACUGACGCUCAUGCACGAAAGCGUGGGGAGCAAACAGGAUUAGAUACCCUGGUAGUCCACGCCCUAAACGAUGUCAACUGGUUGUUGGACGGCUUGCUGUUCAGUAACGAAGCUAACGCGUGAAGUUGACCGCCUGGGGAGUACGGCCGCAAGGUUGAAACUCAAAUGAAUUGACGGA
rnacentral:rRNA from 1 species